AAAAUGCAUCGAUAAGGGGGUGAAAAAUGGAAAUUAGUGGCUUUUUUUGCUGUACUCAACUGUACUGUUUAGUAUGCUAGUUUUGGCUAUGGCUGGAUCUCUUAAGUCUUAAACAAUUAUAAUCAGCUGAAAGUGGUCUACAAAAAACCAGAUAUAACCAAAAUAAAGAUAUAAAAAGUGUAUUGGCUAAUUGGAAGAAACUCAACAUUGUCCAUGCAUAAUAAGUUAUUACUUUAUAAACAAAUAUUAAGACCUAGGAAUGGAACCUGGAUAUAAUCAUCAAGAAGAUAGCAGGAAUCCCGACAAACAACUUAAAUAAGUACAAGAAUAUUGAGGAAAUCCAGCUCCUCGAUACUACUGGGCAAACUAGAAGAUUGAAGAGGACAAAGCCUUUUGAACUAGUUUGAGUGAUAGGUGAUAGUGAAAAGCAGAGCAUAGUGCGUGAUGUGGCUGUGUAUGUUAGAAUAGUGCACGAUCUUGUUAGAUUAGAUAAGAGACGCUAUCGGGUAAGCUCUUCAUUUUAAGAAACAGUAGUAAUUUAGGUUAAAUUAAAAUUGCUCAUUGGUCAGUUAUGACCAGAUUGCUUUUUUUUAUGUUUGGCAAAAAGGGCGUAAGUCAGAAUUGCACAUUGCUAAUGUUUUGAUGAUUUCUGGACCAGCAAAAAACUGUUGUAGACGUAAACUGUAUGUACCAAUAAAAAGAGCCGAUUUUUCUGGUCCAGAAAUCAUCAAAACAUUAUCGAUGUGCAUUUCUGACUUAAGCCCUUUUUCCCAAACAUCAGAGAAUUGUAAUGUACAAAUUCUCCUAUCUGAUUUUUCAUGAAUUUUGUAGGAGACAAAAAACUAUUUUUAGAAUCAUCUCCUGCUUUCACAUGUAAAUUUUGACAUGUCUUGUAGUAAAUAGAUAGUUGAAUUUACUACAAAACAUGUCAAAAAAUAUAUGAAAACAGGAGGUGACCAUAAAAAAAGUUUUUAGUCUCUCUUACAAAACUCAUGAAAAAACAAAUCGGAGGUAUGUCACAUCAGUGACUAUAUCCAGGGAAUGUCUAAAAAAUAUACUUUGAUGUCCCAAGAACCAAAUAUAACCUUUAUAUAUAUAUACAGGGUGUAACAAAAAUACAGGUCAUAAAUUUAAUCACAUAUCCUGGGACCAAAAAUAGUUUGAUUGGACCUAACUUACCUUAGUACAAAUGUGCACAAAAGAAAAGUUACAGCCCUUUGAAGUUAUAUAUUAAUAGCACCAAGGGCCUUAGAGGCCCAUGGCUUGAAAAGUUUGUUUUUUUCUUCAUUUUCACGUUUCUUUAUGUACUGAGAUCUUCUCUGGCUUGAUAUGUGAUUUUUCUCCAUUCCUUCCUCUUAUUCAUUUUUCUUUUCUGACCCUGUAACACCAUUCUUUCCAAAUCUUUUUCGACCUCUUGCUUCCAUCUAUUUUCCGGUCUUCCUCUUCUCUUUCUUGAAGCUAUAGUGUAGUUUAGUACCCUUUUCGGAGUCCUCGUUUUUGGCAUCCUUUCAAUGUGACCUCAUGAUCUAAGUCUCUGUGCCUUUAUCACUCAUUUGAAGUUACAAAAUGAAAAGUGAUUUUUUCCAAUGUAUCGAAAACAAUGUGCUUUUGUGCACGUUUCAAUUUAAUUAUUAUUGUAGUACCUACCAUUUAAACAACGUUUUAAAAACUUUUUUGCCUCUUAUUGCUUUUUCGAAAAGUCAAUUUUUAUCGAAAUAUUUUGAAUAUUUGUCAAAUCCACCACAUAUUUGUAUAUGGUUAAGUACGAUUAUGGAGACUUGGUAAUAAUAUGCAAACUUAUUUAUGCUUUACAUUUUUAGGUAUAUUUUGAACCAUAUUAAAAAAGAAGCCAGACUCGAUAAAACGUGCCUUAUCGAAAAAAUACAAAGAGGCAAAAAAGUUUUGAAAACACUCUGUUUAACUAAUGGUACCUCAGUAAUAGUUUAAUUGGAACAUACACAAACAUUUGGGGGGUUUAAAGGAACAAAACCCC
rnacentral:lncRNA from 1 species